rnacentral:rRNA from 1 species
UCAUCUGAGAUUGCCUUAGUAAUGGCGAAUGAACCGGCAAAAGCUCAUUGCUGAAGCGUGUUAAAUUCACUUUUGACAUGCAUUGUAGCAUUUAGGGUAACUAUUGUAUGGUGCCUGUUCGUGUGAGUUCCUUUGAUCAGGGCUUUAACCAUAGAAGGUGCUAGUCCUAUAAUCACGAAUAGUUGUGCUGUACAUUGUAUACCUUUCGAGUAGCGUAGUUUGAGAUUGCUACGCCAACGUGGGACGUAAACUUGUUCCAAAGCUAAAUAUUAUAACGAGACCGAUAGCGAACAAGUACCGUGAGGGAAAGUUGAAAAGCACUCUGAAGAGAGAGUUAAAUAGUACGUAAAACCGUACAGAAGAAAACGAAUGGCCGCAUUCAUCAGAUUACUUUGAAUUCAAUUCGAUCUCUAUAUGAUGGUGAUACAUGUUGAUUUCGAACUUCAACAGUCGAUUGAUAUGUUAUUGCCUGGAGUCGGAUGCAUUUUCAAAGUAUUAACUGAACCUGGAUCUAUAACAUUGAAAGCUAGUCGAAUCAGUCUAUUUUGGUGGCGAGUUUACUCGUGUUAAAAAUAUGACUUGCAUAAAUAACAAAUUCGACUUGGCGUUAUAGGUAAACAGACAAGUUCUUUGAUUUCAGUACUUUCGAGUACGGCAUACUAUGUGCAUUGUUGGUGUCACAUGAGUAACUAAUAUUUAACCGAUAUUAGUUUUAUUCAUUGUCGGUGCCUAAUGUUGUGUGGUUGUCAAUGAAAUCGGCAAGUCUACAGGAGUUUUGAAUGCCGAGUUAUUCGACCCGUCUUGAAACACGGUCUAAGGAGUUCACUGCAUGUGCAAGAGUUCGGCUGUAUGAAAAGCCUUGCUCGUAAUGAAAGUAAAGAACAUUCUUGCAAUGUUUUAAGUGUGAUUUCUGUCAUCUGGUGCAAAUCAUGACAAUGAACGCAACACUGACAGGUUCUAUUGCCGCUGGCAAAGAGCUUAGUAAGAGUAUAUGCAAUGAGACCCGAAAGAUGGUGAACUUAAUGUGUGUAGAAUGAAGCCAGGGGAAACCCUGGUGGAAGUUCGUAGCGGUUCUGACGUGCAAAUCUAUCGUCAAAC